AUGUCGAGCCUGAUAGAUAUUUGGACGGUGGAGGUGGACAGGAUCCGGGCCAUGAGGAGAACGGUGGAGCCGUUCAGACCCACGGCUUCGCCCGGCGCACAAGAAGCCGGCCACGUAGCUCAGCCGUCCGGCGACGGAGCCAAGGAUCAGGCUGCUGGUGCUGGCUCGCCGGCGUCGCCGGUGCUCGUCCGGGAGGACGCCUUCUUGUCCAUCCUGGUUGAUUGUUUCGGUCAGUAG
rnacentral:rRNA from 1 species